AAGAGGCAAAGAGAUUGGUCAUGUUCCCAUUCACGUUAUCUGAGGAUGCUGAGGAAUGGUUCUAUUCCCUACCCGCAGGAAGCAUUACUACUUGGCAACAAAAUGGAAACAGCAUUCUUGAACGAGUAUUUUCCUGCUUCUGUGUAUAUCCGUAAGAGGUAUGACAUUGUGAAUUUUAAACAGAAAGACGGAGAGACACUUGGAGAUACAUACAAAAG
rnacentral:lncRNA from 1 species